GCAAAGACUACUGUAGGCAGUAUCAAUUGAAUCAAUUGUUAGAAACCUGUUUCGAGAAGUUUUGGAAUAUUCGUAUUUCAACAUUUUAUUGGCUCUAAAUUGUUCAAAAAUCUCAAAUUUUGGAAAGUUUGAAAUUCUGUGCAUUUAUUCAACUUUUUGUUCUCUGAUUCCAAUCUUCAAUCUUCAUUAAAUACAACUUCAUACAAAUUUUUCUUCUUCACAUCAAACACCGUUUGGUCCGUUUCCUUUCGUCGCUUGGAGACCUACAUGGCAACAUUGACUCCACGUGUAUGUAGAAGAAGGGUCCCAUUCUCCACGCUUUACUACACUCUAUACUGAAUUUUCCAUUUAUUUUCUUGUCCUUUUCAUU
ensembl:lincRNA R144.19 ncRNA